rnacentral:rRNA from 1 species
GCCUAAUACAUGCAAGUCGAACGAACUCUGGUAUUGAUUGGUGCUUGCAUCAUGAUUUACAUUUGAGUGAGUGGCGAACUGGUGAGUAACACGUGGGAAACCUGCCCAGAAGCGGGGGAUAACACCUGGAAACAGAUGCUAAUACCGCAUAACAACUUGGACCGCAUGGUCCGAGCUUGAAAGAUGGCUUCGGCUAUCACUUUUGGAUGGUCCCGCGGCGUAUUAGCUAGAUGGUGGGGUAACGGCUCACCAUGGCAAUGAUACGUAGCCGACCUGAGAGGGUAAUCGGCCACAUUGGGACUGAGACACGGCCCAAACUCCUACGGGAGGCAGCAGUAGGGAAUCUUCCACAAUGGACGAAAGUCUGAUGGAGCAACGCCGCGUGAGUGAAGAAGGGUUUCGGCUCGUAAAACUCUGUUGUUAAAGAAGAACAUAUCUGAGAGUAACUGUUCAGGUAUUGACGGUAUUUAACCAGAAAGCCACGGCUAACUACGUGCCAGCAGCCGCGGUAAUACGUAGGUGGCAAGCGUUGUCCGGAUUUAUUGGGCGUAAAGCGAGCGCAGGCGGUUUUUUAAGUCUGAUGUGAAAGCCUUCGGCUCAACCGAAGAAGUGCAUCGGAAACUGGGAAACUUGAGUGCAGAAGAGGACAGUGGAACUCCAUGUGUAGCGGUGAAAUGCGUAGAUAUAUGGAAGAACACCAGUGGCGAAGGCGGCUGUCUGGCUGUAACUGACGCUGAGGCUCGA